UGUGUCUCCUCUAUCUGAACUCCGUUUGGACUGUUCUUGGACUCGUUGGACUCCGGUUGUCAUCCUAGAUCUCGUUUUGCCUUUAUUAUGGAUCAAAUCUUGAGAUAUUUUCUUCAACAAAGAUAAAUAUUUGUAUCUAAAAUAGUAUUCAUACUAAACCAAAGCAAACAGAAGAAAACCUUUAUAGAAGUAGAAACUUUCUCCUCGCUGGCACGACCAUGUAGAAUGAAUUGACAAAGAAUGAGGUGAGGC
rnacentral:lncRNA from 1 species